GGCCGUUUAGCUUAAUUGGUAAAAGCGGACGAUUCAUAAUCGUAGGAUAGCAGGUUCAAAUCCUGUGGCGGCCACCA
rnacentral:tRNA from 2 species